UACGGAGGGUGCGAGCGUUGUCCGGAAUCAUUGGGCGUAAAGGGCGCGUAGGCGGCCUGUUGCGUCCGCUGUGAAAUCCCGGGGCUCAACCCUGGGCGUGCAGUGGAUACGGGCAGGCUGGAGGCAGGCAGGGGAGAACGGAAUUCCCGGUGUAGCGGUGAAAUGCGCAGAUAUCAGGAGGAACACCGGUGGCGAAGGCGGGUCUCUGGGCCGAUACUGACGCUGAGGAGCGAAAGCGUGGGGAGCGAACAGG
rnacentral:rRNA from 1 species